rnacentral:rRNA from 1 species
UGGGCGUAAGCGCGCGCAGGUGGUUUCUUAAGUCUGAUGUGAAAGCCCACGGCCUCUUAAGUGGAGGGUCAUUGGAAACUGGGAGACUUGAGUGCACUUGAGAAAAGUGGAAUUCCAUGUGUAGCGGUGAAAUGCGUAGAGAUAUGGAGGAACACCAGUGGCGAAGGCGACUUUCUGGAAUGUAACUGACACUGAGGCGCGAAAGCGUGGGGAGGGAACAGGAUUAAAUACCCUGGUAGUCCUCCCCGUAAGCGAUGAAUGCUAAGUGUUAGAGGGUUUCCCCCCUUUCGUGCUG